UACGAAGGGGGCUAGCGUUGUUCGGAAUUACUGGGCGUAAAGCGCACGUAGGCGGACAUUUAAGUCAGGGGUGAAAUCCCGGGGCUCAACCCCGGAACUGCCUUUGAUACUGGGUGUCUCGAGUCCGGAAGAGGUGAGUGGAAUUCCGAGUGUAGAGGUGAAAUUCGUAGAUAUUCGGAGGAACACCAGUGGCGAAGGCGGCUCACUGGCCCGUUACCGACGCUCAGGCGCGACAGCGUGGGGAGCAAACAGG
rnacentral:rRNA from 1 species